rnacentral:rRNA from 1 species
ACGAACGCUGGCGGCGUGCUUAACCCAUGCAAGUCGAACGGAAAGGCCCUUCGGGGUACUCGAGUGGCGAACGGGUGAGUAACACGUGGGUGAUCUGCCCUGCACUUUGGGAUAAGCCUGGGAAACUGGGUCUAAUACCGAAUAUGAUCAUCGGCUUCAUGGUCGGUGGUGGAAAGCUUUUGCGGUGUGGGAUGGGCCCGCGGCCUAUCAGCUUGUUGGUGGGGUAAUGGCCUACCAAGGCGACGACGGGUAGCCGGCCUGAGAGGGUGACCGGCCACACUGGGACUGAGAUACGGCCCAGACUCCUACGGGAGGCAGCAGUGGGGAAUAUUGCACAAUGGGCGCAAGCCUGAUGCAGCGACGCCGCGUGAGGGAUGACGGCCUUCGGGUUGUAAACCUCUUUCAGCACAGACGAAGCGCAAGUGACGGUAUGUGCAGAAGAAGGACCGGCCAACUACGUG